GGGGGGUUGUUGAUCUGUGCGGGGUCCUGAGCAGCCUGUCUAGUGAAUGGCGUUCCUGCUCAUGGCGUCAGGAUUGCCGUGAUGUGGUAUCCACAGAGGUGACAGGAACAUCACAAAGGAGACAAGGAGACAAGAUUUUCUGAUUAUAGAUACAGGACCCAUGUGGAUUCCAGCAAAGAAUGUGAAACCCUAUCGAGUGCAAGGAAGUGCUGACCACUCCCUCAGUAAAGAAGCAGGCAUGCAGAUGUGAACUGCACAG